rnacentral:rRNA from 1 species
UACGUAGGGGGCGAGCGUUGUCCGGAAUCAUUGGGCGUAAAGCGCGUGUAGGCGGCUCGAUAAGUCCGGUGUGAAACCUUGGGGCUCAACCCCAAGCCUGCACUGGAUACUGCCGAGCUAGAGUCCGGGAGGGGAGAGCGGAAUUCCUAGUGUAGCGGUGAAAUGCGCAGAUAUUAGGAAGAACCCCGGUGGCGAAGGCGGCUCUCUGGAACGGUACUGACGCUGAGACGCGAAAGCGUGGGGAGCGAACAGG